CGAACUGAUAAGUUGACUGAUGA
rnacentral:siRNA from 1 species